rnacentral:rRNA from 1 species
UACGUAGGGUGCGAGCGUUAAUCGGAAUUACUGGGCGUAAAGCGUGCGCAGGCGGUUCGUUGUGUCGGCGGUGAAAGCCCCGGGCUCAACCCGGGAAUGGCCGUUGAAACUGGCGAACUGGAGUGUGGCAGAGGGGGGUGGAAUUCCGCGUGUAGCAGUGAAAUGCGUAGAGAUGCGGAGGAACACCGAUGGCGAAGGCAGCCCCCUGGGCUAACACUGACGCUCAGGCACGAAAGCGUGGGGAGCAAACAGG